CUGAAAAUGCCCCAAUGGUGAAUGUGACCUAAGGAAGAUUUAACUCCAUGAAUUUGAAGUUUUAAGUUCCAUGUGCCUUUGCUUCUCUACAAUGGCUUAUGAGCAUCGUAAACAAUGACAGCUUCACCCACGCUGGGACAGAUCCUGCCGUCCGACCUCAAAGCGGGGAAGGGUUGGAGGGGAAGGGCUAUUGAGUGAAGCAGAGAAGCAAGGGACUGAGAG